GAUGAACGCUAGCGACAGGCUUAACACAUGCAAGUCGAGGGGCAGCAUGAUUUGUAGCAAUGCAGAUUGAUGGCGACCGGCGCACGGGUGAGUAACGCGUAUGCAACUUACCUAUCAGAGGGGGAUAGCCCGGCGAAAGUCGGAUUAAUACCCCAUAAAACAGGGGUCCCGCAUGGGAAUAUUUGUUAAAGAUUCAUCGCUGAUAGAUAGGCAUGCGUUCCAUUAGGCAGUUGGCGGGGUAACGGCCCACCAAACCGACGAUGGAUAGGGGUUCUGAGAGGAAGGUCCCCCACAUUGGUACUGAGACACGGACCAAACUCCUACGGGAGGCAGCAGUGAGGAAUAUUGGUCAAUGGCCGAGAGGCUGAACCAGCCAAGUCGCGUGAAGGAAGAAGGAUCUAUGGUUUGUAAACUUCUUUUAUAGGGGAAUAAAGUGGAGGACGUGUCCUUUUUUGUAUGUACCCUAUGAAUAAGCAUCG
rnacentral:rRNA from 1 species